rnacentral:tRNA from 1 species
GACGGGGUAGCCGAGUGGCCAGGCGGCAGCCUGCAGAGUUGCACACGCGGGUUCAAUUCCCGCCCUCGUCUCCA